rnacentral:rRNA from 1 species
UCAAAUGAGAGUUUGAUCCUGGCUCAGAAUCAACGCUGGCGGCGUGCCUAACACAUGCAAGUCGAACGGGAAAGGGGAGCAAUCCCUGAGUAUAGUGGCGACCGGGUGAGUAACACGUGACUACCUGCCCUUGAGUGGGGGAUAACCUCGGGAAACCGAGGCUAAUACCGCAUAAUAUCGAAAGAUCAAAGGAGCAAUCCGCUUUUGGAGGGGGUCGCGGCUGAUUAGCUAGUUGGUGAGGUAAUGGCUCACCAAGGCGAAGAUCGGUAUCCGGCCUGAGAGGGCGCACGGACACACUGGAACUGAAACACGGUCCAGACUCCUACGGGAGGCAGCAGUGGGGAAUUUUGCGCAAUGGGGGAAACCCUGAC